CCCUUAGAUGUUCUGGGCCGCACGCGCGCUACACUGAUGAAUGCAACGAGCUCUACCCUUGACCGAAAGGCCCGGGUAAACUUGUGAAACUUCAUCGUGAUGGGGAUAGAUUAUUGCAAUUAUUAAUCUUCAACGAGGAAUUCCUAGUAAGCGCGAGUCAUCAGCUCGCGUUGAUUACGUCCCUGCCCUUUGUACACACCGCCCGUCACUCCUACCGAUUGGAUGGUCCGGUGAAGCCUCGGGAUUGUGGUUCUUGCCGCUUUAUUGUGGCGUGACCGCGAGAACUUGUCUAAACCUUAUCAUCUAGAGGAAGGUGAAGUCGUAACA
rnacentral:rRNA from 1 species